AUUGAACGCUGGCGGAAUGCUUUACACAUGCAAGUCGAGCGGCAGCGCGGGGCAACCUGGCGGCGAGCGGCGAACGGGUGAGUAAUGCAUCGGAACGUACCCAGUCGUGGGGGAUAACUGUCCGAAAGGACAGCUAAUACCGCAUACGUCCUGAGGGAGAAAGCGGGGGAUCGCAAGACCUCGCGCGAUUGGAGCGGCCGAUGCCGGAUUAGCUAGUUGGUAGGGUAAAGGCCUACCAAGGCGACGAUCCGUAGCUGGUCUGAGAGGACGACCAGCCACACUGGAACUGAGACACGGUCCAGACUCCUACGGGAGGCAGCAGUGGGGAAUUUUGGACAAUGGGCGCAAGCCUGAUCCAGCCAUGCCGCGUGAGUGAAGAAGGCCUCGGUUGUAAGACUCUUUCGUCCGGGUACGAAAGUACGCACGGGUUAAGUACCCUACGUGUGGAGUGACGGUACCGG
rnacentral:rRNA from 1 species